UUUCAAGUAACAUUAUCUUGUUUGCUGGUUGUUCAUCUUCGUGCACGAUAGAGGAUUUGUGCUCGGCCCGAUGGCAUCAAUGAAAAAUAUCAGUAGGCAUUAGAAGCUAGAUGGGGAUGUUGGUCGAGACAAGCUAGUAGAUGGAAUCUUUGCCGAAAUGACUUCGGUGGCAAGAAAGAGUGAAGGUUAGUAGUUCGCACGGCUGUAGAGUGCAGCUAGAUCGAUACUGUUGCUCGAAACUGAUGCUAACUUGCACUUCAUGCUCCAUAAAUCACAGCAAAUACUCCCAAACGAAAGCUAGCUACCUAACUAUUCAUUCCUAGUCUAAUAGUCAUUCCAAAUGAUCAAGGAGGGACCACCCGUAUUGAAGCUUACAAACUUGAUUGGAAUAUCAAGUGAUGCUGAAUUCGCCAUCAACUAUAGCUUGCAUCCAGGAGGUCAACAUAUGUCACGCUGGAAGCCAGUUAAUUCAAGAUGGAGAGAGGACGAAAAUUGUUUAGCCUUCUUGUAUAGCUUCAAUAUCUUGCAAGAUAGGGCAAUCUUUUUGAACUUGGAUGCCUAUUACUAUGCAAAAUGUCGACAUGAGUUGGGAUCUUCCCCAA
rnacentral:lncRNA from 1 species